rnacentral:tRNA from 1 species
CAAAAAGUAGCUUACACUAAAGCAGUCGACCUACACUCGACCGACAUUUUAAUAAUCUUUUUGA